GUGUGACUGCGUACCUUUUGUAUAAUGGGUCAGCGACUUAUAUUCUGUAGCAAGGUUAACCGAAUAGGGGAGCCGAAGGGAAACCGAGUCUUAACUGGGCGUUAAGUUGCAGGGUAUAGACCCGAAACCCGGUGAUCUAGCCAUGGGCAGGUUGAAGGUUGGGUAACACUAACUGGAGGACCGAACCGACUAAUGUUGAAAAAUUAGCGGAUGACUUGUGGCUGGGGGUGAAAGGCCAAUCAAACCGGGAGAUAGCUGGUUCUCCCCGAAAGCUAUUUAGGUAGCGCCUCGUGAAUUCAUCUCCGGGGGUAGAGCACUGUUUCGGCAAGGGGGUCAUCCCGACUUACCAACCCGAUGCAAACUGCGAAUACCGGAGAAUGUUAUCACGGGAGACACACGGCGGGUGCUAACGUCCGUCGUGAAGAGGGAAACAACCCAGACCGCCAGCUAAGGUCCCAAAGUCAUGGUUAAGUGGGAAACGAUGUGGGAAGGCCCAGACAGCCAGGAUGUUGGCUUAGAAGCAGCCAUCAUUUAAAGAAAGCGUAAUAGCUCACUGGUCGAGUCGGCCUGCGCGGAAGAUGUAACGGGGCUAAACCAUGCACCGAAGCUGCGGCAGCGACGCUUAUGCGUUGUUGGGUAGGGGAGCGUUCUGUAAGCCUGCGAAGGUGUGCUGUGAGGCAUGCUGGAGGUAUCAGAAGUGCGAAUGCUGACAUAAGUAACGAUAAAGCGGGUGAAAAGCCCGCUCGCCGGAAGACCAAGGGUUCCUGUCCAACGUUAAUCGGGGCAGGGUGAGUCGACCCCUAAGGCGAGGCCGAAAGGCGUAGUCGAUGGGAAACAGGUUAAUAUUCCUGUACUUGGUGUUACUGCGAAGGGGGGACGGAGAAGGCUAUGUUGGCCGGGCGACGGUUGUCCCGGUUUAAGCGUGUAGGCUGGUUUUCCAGGCAAAUCCGGAAAAUCAAGGCUGAGGCGUGAUGACGAGGCACUACGGUGCUGAAGCAACAAAUGCCCUGCUUCCAGGAAAAGCCUCUAAGCAUCAGGUAACAUCAAAUCGUACCCCAAACCGACACAGGUGGUCAGGUAGAGAAUACCAAGGCGCUUGAGAGAACUCGGGUGAAGGAACUAGGCAAAAUGGUGCCGUAACUUCGGGAGAAGGCACGCUGAUAUGUAGGUGAAG
rnacentral:rRNA from 1 species